GGGAUUGUGGCUCGGUGGUAGAGUGCUCGCCUAGCAUGUGUGAGGCACUGGGUUUGAUCCUCAGCAUCACA
rnacentral:tRNA from 1 species